rnacentral:tRNA from 1 species
GGGGAUUUAGCUCAGCGGCAUAAGCGCCUGCCUGGCAAGCACGAGGUUGUGAGUUCAAUCCCUG